CUAUCUUUCCUUCUUCAACAUCCCUAUCUUUCCUUCUUCUCACACACUCCAUUUUCCUUCUUCAAAAUCCCUCCCCUCACUAACGACGAACGACGCACGACGAAAACCCCAACCUUAACCCCAUUCUUCUCAUCUCCACAUCCUUUCUUCUCGGUGACGGAGACCCACAGCGAGGAGACCCAUAUCGUUGCCGGAGAAGAGAAAAAUCAAUUGAAGAACAUGAAGAUGAAACCGUUUCUGCACAAGCGAGAGUUUUAUCUUGAAGGAGGUGCAAUGGUUUUGGUUGAUGGAGGUGUUAUUUGCAUUGAUGAGUUUGACAAAAUGAGAUCAAAGCAUAGGUAACCUAAAAGACAGAAGAUGUCCAAUUCUUUUCUUCUUUCUCCUAAGGUUUGUUGCUGUUUUUUAAAUGAUGUUGUUCUUUGAUCAUUCUCUUGAGGUUUUAGGAAUGUUAUCCAUUAUUGCAGACUGGGCUGAUUAAAUGUCAUUACUUAUACAUUUUGUUUGUGAUCCGAGUUGCACCUCUUCUGGCUAGAUCCAAUUUGCUCAUUAUCAGGGAUAUAGAGUGGGCAACCAAACUCCUAGCAUCAUCUUAAGAAUGUCAAGAGUGCUUGUGUAAUUUGAUAGAUCCUUUUGUUGAAUUAUGUUUCCAGCCUUUUAACUUUCCUUUUUUUAGCAAAAAUCAUGUUGAUGAUCAAACACACUUUUCUCAUUUAAUGGUAUCUUAGCAACCCCUCCUCCUCCUUCUUUGUUGUUGGGUUAUAAUUGGUUUAUUUAUACAUUUUAUCUAUAUAUUGGACACCAACUUCACAUUAUGAAGAAAGCCUUGAAUUUCACCUUUUAUUAUAUAUGAAUGAGCUUACACCCACUCCUAUCUAUAUGAUAGAUUUUCAGUAAAAGGAUUUUAAUGUUUAGGGAUGAUAGAAAAUGAGAUGAAAUCUUCUCUAAAUAAUCUUCUACUUCUUGUUGCAGUUUUUUGGUAUUUUAACCUGGUUGUAUUUGUUGGUUAAUUAGCGAUAUAAAUCUAUUGUUUGUUUGGUUCUAAGUUUCUUCUCUUGAAUUCAACUUGCUUUGUUUUCUAUUCGUAAUUUGGAAUCCAAUUCCUUGCUUAUGGUUUGGAAUUUUGUUCUAUUAUGCCUCCAUGUGAAAACAUUACUUGAAUUGCUACCUGUGACUGAUGUUUGAGUUUUUACAGUAAAGGAGUGUGUUAUCAUGAAUUAGGUGGAACACCGAGUUGAAAUAUAUGUCAUCUACCUUCUUUUGCCGACAUGGAGAUGGAUAGCCUCUUAAACUCACAAUAAAGGUACACUUUACUUGCAAGGUCAGGCUCGGUUCCUUUGGAUGCUAUCAACUAAACAUGGAGUUCUAUCUUUGAGACUUUUUAAAUGUUUUGGAGAGUUCUUCCAAAAGUUAGUGCUUGUAAAGUAUAGCGAGUAAUUCUUUCUCAUACUUCAUUAUAUGUUUCAAGGUUUUGCCACAAAUCCAUUGGAGCAGUGAAGUCAUAUUUGCAGCAAUUCAUUGAUGUAUAGGCAUUUUUGUAGGUUUGGUAGGAAAAUUUCUGGUUUAAAUGCAGUUAUUUAAAUAGCUUGUUCGUAACAAACCAUAUAUGUACCAAC